CUCCUCUUCUUCUUUGCAUCUCUCCUUCUUUUUCUCCCUCUCUCCUUCCUCAGGUUGAAGCGUUCGUUAUUUAAGGCAAAUGUAUAUAUUUCCUGACUCCACGAUGUUGAUGGGCCCAUAGGAAUACAAGAGGUACUGGAACAGUGGGAACAGAGAAGAAAUUUUAAGAAUGAUAAGCACCUGCUAUCAAAGAAUCUGCCUGGUGAUUUUCUUUGGUUUAUUUCAGCCCACAAGAACUGAUGAAGAACUGGUUCUGUGCUGGGCCCUGGCAGUCGUGAUCUCUCAGCAGGUGACUGGCGCUCAUUAAAUGUUGGAGAAUUACUGCAUGAGGGCACGCGAUCCUGCAGCACUCAAACUUUAGGGUGGCAUCAGCAUCACCCGGAGGGCUUGUGAAACUCUCCACCUGCAGAGUUUCUGAUGUGGCUCCACACCCAACGAGGGCUUAAACUCAACCCCGAGAUCAAGACCCAGCUGGCCAGGCAACCCAGAUAUGUUUCAAGUGCUUAAUUGUCACAUGGGCUACUGGCUUACCGUAUUGAACACAGUCUUCAACUUUUAUCUCAAGAUUUUCUCUAUAAAAUGUGUGUGAACAAAAAUAAACUCCAAAUGGAUGAAAGACCUCGAUGUGAGACAGGAAUCCAUCAAAAUUCUAGAGGAGAACAUAGG